CGGACGGGUGAGUAAUGCUUGGGAAUCUGGCUUAUGGAGGGGGAUAACUACGGGAAACUGUAGCUAAUACCGCGUAAUAUCUUCGGAUUAAAGGGUGGGACUUUCGGGCCACCUGCCAUAAGAUGAGCCCAAGUGGGAUUAGGUAGUUGGUGGGGUAAAGGCCUACCAAGCCGACGAUCUCUAGCUGGUCUGAGAGGAUGACCAGCCACACUGGAACUGAGACACGGUCCAGACUCCUACGGGAGGCAGCAGUGGGGAAUAUUGCACAAUGGGGGGAACCCUGAUGCAGCCAUGCCGCGUGAAUGAAGAAGGCCUUCGGGUUGUAAAGUUCUUUCGGUGAUGAGGAAGGUGUUUGUUUUAAUAGAACAAGCAAUUGACGUUAGUCACAGAAGAAGCACCGGCUAACUCCGUGCCAGCAGCCGCGGUAAUACGGAGGGUGCGAGCGUUAAUCGGAAUGACUGGGCGUAAAGGGCACGCAGGCGGUGACUUAAGUGAGAUGUGAAAGCCCCGAGCUUAACUUGGGAAUUGCAUUUCAUACUGGGUCGCUAGAGUAUUUUAGGGAGGGGUAGAAUUCCACGUGUAGCGGUGAAAUGCGUAGAGAUGUGGAGGAAUACCGAAGGCGAAGGCAGCCCCUUGGGAAUAUACUGACGCUCAUGUGCGAAAGCGUGGGGAGCAAACAGGAUUAGAUACCCUGGUAGUCCACGCUGUAAACGCUGUCGAUUUGGGGAUUGGGCUUAGAGCUUGGUGCCCGUAGCUAACGUGAUAAAUCGACCGCCUGGGGAGUACGGCCGCAAGGUUUAAACUCAAAUGAAUUGACGGGGG
rnacentral:rRNA from 1 species